rnacentral:rRNA from 1 species
GGAAAGGCGAAAAGAACCCCGGCGAGGGGAGUGAAAAAGAACCUGAAACCGUGUACGUACAAGCAGUGGGAGCCUCUUUUAUGGGGUGACUGCGUACCUUUUGUAUAAUGGGUCAGCGACUUAUAUUCUGUAGCAAGGUUAACCGAAUAGGGGAGCCGAAGGGAAACCGAGUCUUAACUGGGCGUUAAGUUGCAGGGUAUAGACCCGAAACCCGGUGAUCUAGCCAUGGGCAGGUUGAAGGUUGGGUAACACUAACUGGAGGACCGAACCGACUAAUGUUGAAAAAUUAGCGGAUGACUUGUGGCUGGGGGUGAAAGGCCAAUCAAACCGGGAGAUAGCUGGUUCUCCCCGAAAGCUAUUUAGGUAGCGCCUCGUGAAUUCAUCUCCGGGGGUAGAGCACUGUUUCGGCAAGGGGGUCAUCCCGACUUACCAACCCGAUGCAAACUGCGAAUACCGGAGAAUGUUAUCACGGGAGACACACGGCGGGUGCUAACGUCCGUCGUGAAGAGGGAAACAACCCAGACCGCCAGCUAAGGUCCCAAAGUCAUGGUUAAGUGGGAAACGAUGUGGGAAGGCCCAGACAGCCAGGAUGUUGGCUUAGAAGCAGCCAUCAUUUAAAGAAAGCGUAAUAGCUCACUGGUCGAGUCGGCCUGCGCGGAAGAUGUAACGGGGCUAAACCAUGCACCGAAGCUGCGGCAGCGACACUAUGUGUUGUUGGGUAGGGGAGCGU